UUGAAGAUUUUGAACUUGCCGUCCUGUAUAUGCCAGAAUGAUUCAUGGCUGAUGAAAGAGAAAGAUGGCAGGAUCCUGCACCAAUUCUUUGAGGUUUUCUCUUAUAUGAGCUCUCAAUGAGGGAGAAG